CUCUCUCUCUCUCUCUCUCUCUCUCUCUCUCUCUCUCACACACAUGAAAAUCUUUCUCAUCUUGCCUCCCCGCCCCUACCCCCUGUCCCUCUCCCUCCCCCUCCCCUCUCCCUCUCUCAGGUAUAUAAUGGAGCUGUCUCUCUCUCUCACCAUCACACCUCUUCCUCCACCUCCUUCGUGAGCAUCACCUGCCACUCUCACCCGCAAUAUGAAGGUCCAGCUGUAUUCCCUGGUCGCUGUUCUGUUUGCCCUGGUUGGGUUAGCAGUGGCGGCACCCCAGCCCUACUACAACCGCCCUAGCCCCGUGUUGCAGCACAGGCCGCACAUCGGAAGGGUCCCUCAUCAUGGCGGCUUUAUUCCCUCCUACAGUCUUGAAGUUAUUGGCCACCACGGUUUUCCAGUUAGCAUUGAGCACUACGGCUAUGGAAAGUAAGGAGGAGGAGGAGGAGGAGGAGGAGGAGAAGGAGGAGGCAACUGGGUGACUGCAAAGACGGACAAGAAAAUUAAUGCGAAUGAUUGGUUAGGUUGUAAAGGACAAGAUCAAGAUUAAGACCAAGACCUGACUAAAAGCGGUGGAUGAAGAGGAAGAAGAGGAGGAGGAGGAGGAGGAGGAGGGGGUGAUGAAGUGAGGACUGGACGAAGAGAAGAGGAAAACAAGAAUAGCAAGAUUUUUUUUUGUUUUUAAUUUUCUUGUUUAUUUUCGUUUUUUUUUCCUUUAAGCUUAUUAUUUUUUUCAUCUUUCAUCUUUUUCAUUUUCCGACUCAAAAAUACUUUCUGAUUUCCACCUUUUUCUCGCAGCUUUUCCGGGCUUAAUUAGCGGAAAACAAAAAAGCCUAAUAUAAUUUUUCAGAAGACUACAUAUUGUUAUUCUUAAAAGGAAGUUAUUAAAAAAAAAAUAAGUAGAUGAAAUUUGUGCUUAUGUAAUCUAUAUAUGUACCCUAAUUUCGCUUUUAGACCUAUUUGUACCUAGGCCUAUCAGCACAUCACCUAUUCUUACCUGUAAUCAAGCACAUAGUCUCUAUCUAAUAACUGCCUCACCUCUUCCUCUUUCUCUUGCACCUGUCUUCAUGAUUUUAGUAGUUAAAUAAAGUAUACAAACGCAGA